GGCGUAUUGAGCUGGCCCAUGUCACGUGACAGGAGACAGCAAAUGAGCAUCAACGUGCAACACAGCCCGCCGAGCCGACACAGUCAGCAAAAGGCAGAGCCGGAGGAAAAUCUGAGAUGGCAGUCAAAAAAACUAAGCGUGGUGUGGUGUUAUUAUUCACCAGUCGAUAAAACCACUGCGAGGUGCCAGGUGUGUGAUAAACAUGUUUUGCACAGUAGCAACACAAUUAAUUUAUUCAAACAUUUGAAGACGACGCAUCCCGAGAGCCACAGUGAGCUUGAAAAAAGACAGGCUGCUGCGAAAGCCCAGUCUCCUGCGCCACCCGCAGUCCGGCAGAAGACCCUGCACGAGAGUCUGCAAAAAAGCAAAUCCAGCUGUGAUAACCUGCAGGAGUGCAGGUUGCCCAAAGUAAAGAAAAUGGCUUUGACGUGCGACGUCGACUCCUCCACCGCCGUCAAUUCAGCUUUCUACAUUUGUGAGAACAAGUUUCCAGAUAAACGUACUGUCAUUGCCUGCAAGGAUCAGACUGCCGACUUAAAGUGUGAAAAGGGUGUUAUUCGCAUCAUCAAGUCCAAUUACGGACAUCUCGACCAGAACACCUGCACAGACACGCCUUCUGAAAACAGCUUCUGUGGAACGAAAGACUUUGAAGAAGAUGUGAAACGCAUGUGCAACGGUAGAAAAGAGUGUUCAAUUCCAGGCAAUCCUAAAGGGAGGAUAGUGUUUUCAUACUGUGAUCAAUCCCCCAAGUAUGUGUACGUGUCCUACGUCUGUGAAGCAUAGGAUAAGUACACAAUGAACACCAACAGUUGGUGUACAGGUGACCUGAAGAUGGAGGAUUUCUCCUGCAUCUGAAAGAGGAACUUUGUUCCGAAUCUAAAAAGUAAAAAACCCAAUUAAUAAAAGAGAGGAACUAUCAUCUGGGC
rnacentral:lncRNA from 1 species